rnacentral:misc_RNA from 1 species
GAUGAAGAACGCAGCGAAAUGCGAUAAGUAAUGUGAAUUGCAGAAUUCCGUGAAUCAUCGAAUCUUUGAACGCACAUUGCGCCCCCUGGCAUUCCGGGGGGCAUGCCUGUCCGAGCGUCAUUUCUGCCCUCCAGCCCGGCUGGGUGUUGGGCGCUGUCCCCCGGGGACACGCCCCAAAGGCAGUGGCGGCGCCGCGUCGGGUCCUCGAGCGUAUGGGGCUUUGUCACCCGCUCGGGACGGACUCGUCGGCGCUGGUCUUCCUCCAGGCGACCCUUCGGGGCUCGUCUUCCUUCGGUUGACCUCGGAUCAGGUAGGGUUACCCGCUGAACUUAAGCAUAUCAAUAAGCGGAGGA